rnacentral:misc_RNA from 1 species
GAUGAAGAACGUAGUGAAAUGCGAUAAGUAAUGUGAAUUGCAGAAUUCAGUGAAUCAUCGAAUCUUUGAACGCACAUUGCGCCCGCCAGUAUUCUGGCGGGCAUGCCUGUUCGAGCGUCAUUACAACCCUCAGGCCCCCGGGCCUGGCGUUGGGGAUCGGCGGAGCCCCCCGUGGGCACACGCCGUCCCCCAAAUGCAGUGGCGGUCCCGCCGCAGCUUCCAUCGCGUAGUAGCUAACACCUCGCGACUGGAGAGCGGCGCGGCCACGCCGUAAAACACCCAACUCUUCUGAAGUUGACCUCGAAUCAGGAAGGAAUACCCGCUGAACUUAAGCAUAUCAAUAAGCGGAGGA